AGCCCCGUACACAAAAAUGCACAUAUUGUGAGCUCGAUGAGUAGGGCGGGACACGUGGUAUCCUGUCUGAAUAUGGGGGGACCAUCCUCCAAGGCUAAAUACUCCUGACUGACCGAUAGUGAACCAGUACCGUGAGGGAAAGGCGAAAAGAACCCCGGCGAGGGGAGUGAAAAAGAACCUGAAACCGUGUACGUACAAGCAGUGGGAGCCUCUUAAUGGGGUGACUGCGUACCUUUUGUAUAAUGGGUCAGCGACUUAUAUUCUGUAGCAAGGUUAACCGAAUAGGGGAGCCGAAGGGAAACCGAGUCUUAACUGGGCGUUAAGUUGCAGGGUAUAGACCCGAAACCCGGUGAUCUAGCCAUGGGCAGGUUGAAGGUUGGGUAACACUAACUGGAGGACCGAACCGACUAAUGUUGAAAAAUUAGCGGAUGACUUGUGGCUGGGGGUGAAAGGCCAAUCAAACCGGGAGAUAGCUGGUUCUCCCCGAAAGCUAUUUAGGUAGCGCCUCGUGAAUUCAUCUCCGGGGGUAGAGCACUGUUUCGGCAAGGGGGUCAUCCCGACUUACCAACCCGAUGCAAACUGCGAAUACCGGAGAAUGUUAUCACGGGAGACACACGGCGGGUGCUAACGUCCGUCGUGAAGAGGGAAACAACCCAGACCGCCAGCUAAGGUCCCAAAGUCAUGGUUAAGUGGGAAACGAUGUGGGAAGGCCCAGACAGCCAGGAUGUUGGCUUAGAAGCAGCCAUCAUUUAAAGAAAGCGUAAUAGCUCACUGGUCGAGUCGGCCUGCGCGGAAGAUGUAACGGGGCUAAACCAUGCACCGAAGCUGCGGCAGCGACACUAUGUGUUGUUGGGUAGGGGAGCGUUCUGUAAGCCUGUGAAGGUGGCCUGUGAGGGUUGCUGGAGGUAUCAGAAGUGCGAAUGCUGACAUAAGUAACGAUAAAGCGGGUGAAAAGCCCGCUCGCCGGAAGACCAAGGGUUCCUGUCCAACGUUAAUCGGGGCAGGGUGAGUCGACCCCUAAGGCGAGGCCGAAAGGCGUAGUCGAUGGGAAACAGGUUAAUAUUCCUGUACUUGGUGUUACUGCGAAGGGGGGACGGAGAAGGCUAUGUUGGCCGGGCGACGGUUGUCCCGGUUUAAGCGUGUAGGCUGGUUUUCCAGGCAAAUCCGGAAAACCAAGGCUGAGGCGUGAUGACGAGGCACUACGGUGCUGAAGCGACAAAUGCCCUGCUUCCAGGAAAAGCCUCUAAGCAUCAGGUAACAUCAAAUCGUACCCCAAACCGACACAGGUGGUCAGGUAGAGAAUACCAAGGCGCUUGAGAGAACUCGGGUGAAGGAACUAGGCAAAAUGGUGCCGUAACUUCGGGAGAAGGCACGCUGAUAUGUAGGUGAAGCGACUUGCUCGUGGAGCUGAAAUCAGUCGAAGAUACCAGCUGGCUGCAACUGUUUAUUAAAAACACAGCACUGUGCAAACACGAAAGUGGACGUAUACGGUGUGACGCCUGCCCGGUGCCGGAAGGUUAAUUGAUGGGGUUAGCGGCAACGCGAAGCUCUUGAUCGAAGCCCCGGUAAACGGCGGCCGUAACUAUAACGGUCCUAAGGUAGCGAAAUUCCUUGUCGGGUAAGUUCCGACCUGCACGAAUGGCGUAAUGAUGGCCAGGCUGUCUCCACCCGAGACUCAGUGAAAUUGAACUCGCUGUGAAGAUGCAGUGUACCCGCGGCAAGACGGAAAGACCCCGUGAACCUUUACUAUAGCUUGACACUGAACAUUGAGCCUUGAUGUGUAGGAUAGGUGGGAGGCUUUGAAGUGUGGACGCCAGUCUGCAUGGAGCCGACCUUGAAAUACCACCCUUUAAUGUUUGAUGUUCUAACGUUGGCCCGUAAUCCGGGUUGCGGACAGUGUCUGGUGGGUAGUUUGACUGGGGCGGUCUCCUCCUAAAGAGUAACGGAGGAGCACGAAGGUUGGCUAAUCCUGGUCGGACAUCAGGAGGUUAGUGCAAUGGCAUAAGCCAGCUUGACUGCGAGCGUGACGGCGCGAGCAGGUGCGAAAGCAGGUCAUAGUGAUCCGGUGGUUCUGAAUGGAAGGGCCAUCGCUCAACGGAUAAAAGGUACUCCGGGGAUAACAGGCUGAUACCGCCCAAGAGUUCAUAUCGACGGCGGUGUUUGGCACCUCGAUGUCGGCUCAUCACAUCCUGGGGCUGAAGUAGGUCCCAAGGGUAUGGCUGUUCGCCAUUUAAAGUGGUACGCGAGCUGGGUUUAGAACGUCGUGAGACAGUUCGGUCCCUAUCUGCCGUGGGCGCUGGAGAACUGAGGGGGGCUGCUCCUAGUACGAGAGGACCGGAGUGGACGCAUCACUGGUGUUCGGGUUGUCAUGCCAAUGGCACUGCCCGGUAGCUAAAUGCGGAAGAGAUAAGUGCUGAAAGCAUCUAAGCACGAAACUUGCCCCGAGAUGAGUUCUCCCUGACUCCUUGAGAGUCCUGAAGGAACGUUGAAGACGACGACGUUGAUAGGCCGGGUGUGUAAGCGCAGCGAUGCGUUGAGCUAACCGGUACUAAUGAACCGUGAGGCUUAACCUU
rnacentral:rRNA from 1 species